CUCAGACAAGCAGCUGGAAGCCUGGUGCGCGUGGAUGUCCCCAUGGCUUUAAAGGACGCCCCACAGAACACGGAUUAAUCAUAAUAGAGAGAAAGGACAGCGUUGCAGGGGAGGCUGCAGACACGGCAUCAAUUAAACCGUCAGCGUUCACGUCACCAGAGACCGCCCAGGGUGAGAUUUUACACCUGCCGCCAGGACACCUGCAGAAGCGCAGCCUCACCCCCUGCUGUCCCCGCCCACCCAGGAUCUCAUCACCAGGAAUCCAAAGGCAAAGCAGUCCGAGUGCCCACAGCACGGAGGGGCCAGGAGCCUGCACAGGCUGACAGAGAUGGAGGAGAGACGGCGGCUUGGGGAAGGGCGUGACACCAUCAGACUCUGCUCUCAGAAACUCGUGGGGACAGUGGUCAGGCUGCAGUGGGGCCUUGCAGGGACCUGUCCAUUCCCUGAUUCUGACGAUGCUGAGGGCUUGUGAAUGUCCUUGUGUGCAGGAAACACACCAAAGAGCCUGGCUGUGUGGACCACGGUGCAGCCCAGCUGCGCACACUGCGUUUCCUGUACCAUACUCGGCACUCCGGCCUUGCCUGCGCACUGCCUGAGUCUGCAUUAUCUCUGUGUGUAACUUGGCCCCACCCCGGGAUCCGGGGAGGCUGAUCCCCCACGGGCCUCUCCCAACCUGAGCAGCGCCCUCCUGGCCACUGUCCACUGCUGCCUGAGGCCCUGCCCCAGCAGAAGGCACAGGCUGGGACAGGCCUGCAAGAAUGGCCAGGAGGGGCCUCCCAGGGUCGAGGCAUCUGAGCAGCACCCUGCAGGACGGGCAGGCCCCUCAUGCCCCGGGCACCUGCACAGGGCCUGCGAUCUCAUGCAUUCGAAUGGUGCCGAAUGGGCCAGGGUGUCCUGGGGGAUCCUGUCGGGCGCCCUCCUCAGCUCUUCCACUUUCCACAGUAAGUACUUCGAUAGUAUGGCUCAUGGUCACCCCAAGUCCCCGAGAAGGAAAGAGAGUGACGCCAUGGAGAUGGGAGGUCGGCCCUGCAAAGGGCACCAUAGUCCUGGGCACUACUUCUCCUGGGGAAUGGGGGCUUGGGCACCUUCUUCUCCUCCUUCCUCCCUCCCUCCAUCCUCCCUCUCUCCCUUCUUUCUCCCUCCCUCCCUCCUCCCUCUGACUUACACCCCCAAAUUGCCAGUAUCGCCCCCUCCCCAGUUGCAACAACCCCAAACAUUCAGAUAUUGAUUUGUGUUUCCUGCUUGGGGGCAGAAUCACUCCUGUUCCAGCACCGCUGGGCCCCCACAUUCCCCCACGGGCAGGGACCCACCUCACUCCCCCCACACCCAUGAGCCCACAAGGCUCUGGCCCCCACCCCCAUGGCUGCUUGGUGAAAUGACAGCCCCGCUCUGCUGAGAGCCGGGGAAGAGGAAGGGGCUGGGGCAGGGAGUCCAGCUUGGGAGCCCUGUGAGCCCCUCUAGGAGCCUGGCCCUGGCUGGAGAGAGCAGCACUGGGAUGAAACCCACUUAAUUCAUGGCGGCACAGCAUUGCCAUCUGCAGCACUCGUGCUAAACUCCAUCAAAAAGCAGACGCAGGCUUUCCUUCCUGGCUCCGCAGCCCGGGGCCGGAAUCAGCUACGCCCACUGCACCGAGAUCAGCUUUGAAAAGUCCCCAUUGCAGACGUGCGGCAAAGGCUGGAGUAAGCUGGAAGCUUUGCUAAGGCCGCUCUGCUGUGAUCAGCCUGGCCUGGGGCGCCCUGAGGGAUUCCUGAGCCGCCUCCUGCACCCCUCCCCGUCCUCCAGGAUGAGGCCCUCAUUCAGGCAUGCCUGGCCCCUGGAGGCAGAGAGCCUGGGACUCCAUGGAGAAGCCGUGCCCUGCGCCCACUCGGCCUGGAUGGGAGCCCGGGCCCUGUGUGGUCACACCCGGAGGUCCUCGCCUGCAGCGGCGGGGGCAGACUCUGUGGGGGCACCCCCUCCUCCAGCAGGGCUGGCCCCAGUGGGGUGGGAGGAUGUGGUGGAGUGCGUGACCUCUGGAGAAGCUUGGCCGGAGCAGCCCUGGGGGGCAGCCAACUGCUGGGCAGGGGCUCCGGUGGCCCAUUUCCCAUGACAGGCGGCCUGGCCGGGAGGCAAGCACAGUUCCCACUACUUGGUCCCAGCUCCCCAGCUCCGGGCAUUCAGAUGGGCUCGUGGCCACCAGGCCGUUGGGUCCAAGUGAGGACUUGGUGCCCAGCACCUUCCUGUGCAAGAAGUCAGGGAGUUCAAGACGAGAUCAAGGCUGAUCCAGGCCUUGCGCGGCUCCUGCUCACAGGAUCCUGGGGACCGUUUCAAGAAGAGCCUCAGGACACGGAGAAUGCUCAGUCUCCUGGCUCUCCCCGCCAGGCAAGAGGGCCCGGGGGUGGAGGGAAUCCAGGGGACACAGUCCUCACCCCACUGUCAGCGCCAGCAGACCCCAACACUCAUCCCCCAGCCCCAGGCACACAACCCGCCCUGCCGCCCCUCGCCAGGCCCUGCCGGGUGUCCACCCUCUGCGGCAGCAGGUUGGGGAGGAGACGUGCUGGGGAGGGGCCCAGGCCUGGGCGGGCGCUGCCCUUCCUUUCACUCCCCU
rnacentral:lncRNA from 1 species